rnacentral:rRNA from 1 species
GAGACUGCCGGUGACAAACCGGAGGAAGGUGGGGAGGACGUCAAGUCCUCAUGGCCCUUACGGCCAGGGCUACACACGUACUACAAUGGUCGGUACAGAGGGUUGCAAUACCGCGAGGUGGAGCCAAUCCCAGAAAGCCGAUCCCAGUCCGGAUCGGAGUCUGCAACUCGACUCCGUGAAGUCGGAAUCGCUAGUAAUCGCGGAUCAGCUACGCCGCGGUGAAUACGUUCCCGGGCCUUGUACACA